rnacentral:misc_RNA from 1 species
GUCGUAACAAGGUUUCCGUAGGUGAACCUGCGGAAGGAUCAUUACCACACCUAAAAAACUUCCACGUGAACCGUAUUAACAACUUCAAUUGGGGGCGAUCUCGGUAGUGGCUACUAGUCUUUGGCUGGUGGCUAUAACUGGGUGAGCCUCAUCGUGGCGAAACAUUGGACUUGUCUAAUGUAGUAGCAAAAAUUGUAAACCCUUACUUCAUUACUGAUACUGUGGGGACGAAAGUCUCUACUUAAAUUCCACAUACAACUUUCAGCAGUGGAUGUCUAGGCUC